GGAUGUAGCCAAGUGGAUCAAGGCAGUGGAUUGUGAAUC
rnacentral:tRNA from 7 species